UAGUGAAGCCCCUCCUCAACAAUUACCGCCACAUUUGAAUACGACAUUGUUAUUGGUGUAAUUUUUGAAGCCACAAUCACACUUGUAAAGCGAAUUGGCCGAAUUGGGUAAUCUGUCAUCUGUCAUCUUGCCUAUUGCGUUUCUGCCGGUUUUUACGUUUUUACAUCUUUACUUGCGUCAAUUUGCCAUUAAUCUCCUUUAUUCACACAAAAUAGUCUUUAUAAAAACUCGUCGGUGUAUUCUAAAGAUAGUCAGGUGAGUAAUUAUAAAAUUUUAUACACGAUUUUUACAUGCCUGUUUUUAGGGUUAUAUUAUUCGCGAUCAAGAAAAGUUGUACGCAAACAUGAAUGUCGCCGGUGCUGCUUUCUCUCCACCGAAAAAACGUUCUGCCAAGCACUUUUCAGUUGAAGACAAAACUGGCAUUUUAAAUAUCUUCAAGGCAUAUUCGGAAGACAACCCGGAGGUAUCUAAAACGGAUAAAGUUGAGUUUACGGCUAAAGCAGCAGGUGUAAGCAUUCCGAGUGUCUACAAGAUUCUUCGGGAGUAUACAGAGGUACACGAACUUCAUUCACCUAACAAAUAUUAUCGACCACGAGCAAUUUUGGACAAUAUUGAUUCCGGAACUAAAAGUAUUCUUCGGCGUUUGCUUCAUUCUUUCUUUGAAAGAAAUGAACCACCUACCCUGAGUAAAGUUUUGGCAGUGUUACACGAAGACGAAGACUUACCCCAUUUGAAACGAACUACUUUAUGGAAAUUAAUA